CGCUGCCCCUCCGCCCCCGCCUUAGCCCCCUCUUAUCCCGCCCGAGCCGGGCCCGAGGUGGCCCUGGUGUCCUCCCACCACCCUCCACUUCUGGGAGACAGAGCCGAGCAGGAGGGUGUUUCCUGUGCAUGAAUUGGGAUGUCAUUCUCCUCGACCCAUCAGGAUAGCAUGGAGAGAGGCUGCAAGAAGGGAGAGGCCCCAGAAGUGACAGCUGAAGAUCAAGCAAUCGUCCAGGAUUCCUGCCUCCCUCCACCUGGGUCAAGGCUCUAGCUCCCUUGACCUGGGUAUUCGAUCUCAGGACCUGACCAGUCAGUCGUAUUUAUUGAGCGCCUACUGUAUACUGAGCACCCAUCCAGUCCUCAAACCCACUCCAAAGGGAGCUGGGGCCAUGAAUGUUGUGACCAAGGCCAGAGUGUAUGGGCCCUUGAUUUUAACUCUUGGGGGCCUGCUUACCCCGUUACAGGAAACGCAGACUCAUUUUCCUGUUGCGACAAGGGAGUGACCUUGUACCCCUGAGCUUCUUGUUUUGCCUACACGACAUCCAGUUCCUGUGCUCCUCUUCUGUGGUUUAUUUUUGCUUUCCCCUUGGCCUUAGCCUUUCCUGAACAAGGUCCGGCACAGCAGGCCAGCCCACCCCACUCAAUCUCCAGCCCCAUAAACUGCAGCUUUCUAAUCUGGAAA